GACGAACGCUGGCGGCGUGCCUAAUACAUGCAAGUAGAACGCACAGUUUAUACCGUAGCCUGCUACACCAUAGACUGUGAGUUGCGAACGGGUGAGUAACGCGUAGGUAACCUGCCUGGUAGCGGGGGAUAACUAUUGGAAACGAUAGCUAAUACCGCAUAAUAUUAAUUAUUGCAUGAUAAUUAAUUGAAAGGUGCAAUUGCACCACUACCAGAUGGACCUGCGUUGUAUUAGCUAGUAGGUGAGGUAACGGCUCACCUAGGCGACGAUACAUAGCCGACCUGAGAGGGUGAUCGGCCACACUGGGACUGAGACACGGCCCAGACUCCUACGGGAGGCAGCAGUAGGGAAUCUUCGGCAAUGGACGAAAGUCUGACCGAGCAACGCCGCGUGAGUGAAGAAGGUUUUCGGAUCGUAAAGCUCUGUUGUAAGAGAAGAACGGGUGUGAGAGUGGAAAGUUCACGCUGUGACGGUAUCUUACCAGAAAGGGACGGCUAACUACGUG
rnacentral:rRNA from 1 species